UUGUUUUUUUUUUUUAAAUCAAAACGCACGUUUUGAUCGAAUUCGCAAAUCUAUAAGAUUUUCAUCCCAUUCGAGUUCAUCCCGCGAAAGAGAUGCUCCAUCGUAACCCGCGUCUGCUCCCGCAACCCAGCUCCUCCCGGCGACGCCAUCUCUCUCGUCAGUGCCACCGAGCGGCGCUCCUCCGUCUGCCCAGCGCCUCCACUGUUCCUCGAGCUCGUUGAACGGAGCAAACAAGGUUUCAAUCCCGCGAACCUCCUUCCUCGCCACGAACCCGCGUCCGUCGGCUUCCUCUUGCCAGCGCCACCUCGCGACGACAUCUCUCGGUUCAGGGCCAACUCGCAACGCUCGUUAGUCUGCCCAGCGCCGCCGCUCCCCGCGAGCUGAUUGAACGGACCAAACCAGCGACGGGACCGAGUGCUCUGUUUCGCCAAAUGGUUUGCUAGUGGGGAAAAUGUAGGAUAAAUGGCCAGAGAGUGCAAAUGAAGAUAUAGAUCAUGCCAUUCAACUCUCUCUUUUACAAGAAAGCCAAAAGGGAAAAAAUGUGAUUGAACCACAAUCUCACACUAAAAUACGAUUUUCAUGCCUAUAUGAUUCGCUCAAUGGAAGAAGAAUUCCAAAUGAUUGUUGGUGUGAGGUAGCUAAUAUUUUAAAGCCCAUUACUUCCAUUGCCACGCCUUGUUUGAAUAAUUUUGUUGUUAGUUUCUGUUCACAUAUCGGGACCUCUUAUCUCCUCAUGGAGGUCUAAGCAACAUUAUUGAAUUGUGCAAAUGAGAUCAAAAUCGAAUAUUGAUUUUCCUCCAGGACAAAAUGACCAAGUAAGCAUUCAUAAUUUUUUUUAUCCUAUGGGUUCAUUGGUUAAACAAGCUGCUCUACUUUCUUCAUAAUUGUCUCAAAAGCUUACUCCAGAUACAAUUCCUAGAAUAAUAUCAUUUAAGGCUAGAAGUUUUUGAGAACUUUCAUUGAACUCUCACGGAGGGCAAGGGGGAACAGGAUUACAUGGGGACACUACCAACUUUCCAUUUAUUUAUGGUUGUAUAUAUGUAUUUGUUCCAGCAGGAGUUUUUCUGUUUUUUUAAGGACAAGCUGGAAUUUGGGAGUUCGGGGAUUAACUUGACUCUGGGGGCCCUAGUGGCCCCACUAUCGGGAUUUGUUCUUGCUUUCAUGUUGUUUAAUGUAAAAGGUACAGCACAUUAUCUCACGUCUACCAACUGGUAUUAUCUGUCAAUUGACAUUUUCAUCAAUGUCCAUUUUUUUAAAAAUAAAGUUGGCAUGUAUUUCUUUUUUCUUUCUUGACCAAGGCCAUUAUCACAUGCCUGAGACCAGAGGGCUAUGCCUUUCUGAGGCGGAAACUAUCAGCACUGUAAGAAUAUUUUAAAAAGCUUCAUUGAGUUCAUACACAGGGAUAUACAGAGCUCUAUUUUGACCAUUUAUUUAUAUUGAGCAAUUUAUGUUAUUUUGACCCCGAAAACCACCAGAUUGUAAGCCGACCAGAGAAUGGUACAAAUAUCUAAAGCCUUCUUUUAGAUACUUGUAGUUCUCAUUGAUUGUAUUUCUCAGAUCUGCCGCCAUGAUUGAGUUGCUGUUUUUGUGUCUGUUGGCAAUGGCCAUGGUGUAGUUUGUCUUAACAUGUGUUUCAUUUUUGUUCCUCUUGGAUAGGGUUGGGUGUCGUUUGAAAAAUAGCAGAGUGUUUCUUUUUUUUUCCUCUUGGAGAGGGUUGGUUCCUCUUGGAGAGGGUUGGGUGUAGUUUGAAAAUAUGCAAAGUGUUUCUUUUUAUUUCCUGUUGGAGAGGGUUUGGUGUAGUUUGUCAAUAUGCUUCCGGUGUAAUUUUUGUAUCUCUUUGAGAGGGAAAGGUAGUAGUUAUUCAAAACGCAUUUUUGUACCUCUUGGUGUAGUUUUGGUGUACUUGGUGAAUAUGCCAAUGGUAAGAUUUUUUGUGGAGAUGCAACGGGUAAUUUUUUGUACCUGUUGGAGAGGUGGGGUGUUUUGUUACCAUGAGCCAACUAGUAUGCCAAGCACCUGGUUUUUGGUAGCAUGAUUUUCUACGUUGCUGUUUUUGUGUCUUUGAUGACAGGCAACAUGCAGAGUUUUGGGUUCUUUCCAUUCUCAUUUCAAAAUUUACUGUAUGAACAUUUGACUAAAGAAGGGUAAGGAAAGAUUGGGCAUACACCCAUUUGUUGUGGCAAUAACCAGUAAAUCUGUGUAUAAAUAGAGAUAUAUAUCUAUAUAUUUUAUAAUUAUAUAUUAUUUCAUUCUUCAGAGUAAUAUUUUUUUAUAUACUUUCUAACUUCUUAUUUGGAAUGUGUACUUCUUUGCAAUAGUUUCAGUUGGAGAAGAGCAGCAUUAGCAGGCAUGUAUUUAAUUUUGAUAAUCUUGUAAGUUAUUUUUAUUUUAAUUAAUUUGUACUAAUUGGGUGUAGAUUGGUGAGCAGUGAGCACAUAUGGAACUUUUGUUUCCUAUUGGUUUUCUUCAAUGCUAAUGUCACAGGUGAGGGAUGCCAUCUAUUGUGUAGAAUAUAGAUUGGCCAGGCCAGAAGAUGAUCAAAAGUAAGUAAAAAAGUAUAUCAUGUUUGUGUUAUUGAUGGUUUCUGAUCUCUGAUGGUUAUCUCUUGUUAGUCAUGGCAGGGAUCAUAAUUUUACCCCAUCUAACUAUGUUUUAUGUUAAUAUUUGUGGUCGAGCAGCAGAAACAGCCAGACUUAAGGGGUUUAAAGGUAUAACUAUGGGUUCUCCCCAAAGGCCAAAACUUGCCUAUUCUCGGAAUUUGGUGAUUUUCAUCAGAAUUCUAGUUUUUUAUUUAAUACCUGGAAAGUAUCAUAUUGAGGUUAUUUUUCCUAUAUUUAGGUUUCCUCUAAAUCAUAUGGUGAGUCACUUAGUUCUGAACUUGCUGCAUUUGUAUCAGCUUCAAUCGUUACUCUAAAAUGGAUUUUAAAACUCAUGAAGGAAGUGAUGUUCCUUAAUUUGUGAUGGAGUGGCUUUGUAGGAGUUUUGGGCUGAUCACCAUGAUAAAUUAUUAGCUUGUGGGGCCAUGAUUGUUGCAGAACUUAGGAUGUUGUAGUUGAGGGAGACUGAAUUUACUUGUUCUGAUGGGAUUGCUCAUAAUAAGAUGCUGGCCAAACUUGCAAGUGCUAUGAAUAAACCUGCACACAAACUGUUGUGGCCCCUAUCAUCUGUCAAAGGAUUACUCGAAUCCUUGCCAAUUAAGAAAAUUUCUUGUGAACUGCAGUGCUUACUGCCAAAGAAAACAUGGUGUUCAGAAACAGCUUGGAGGAAAGCUUGGGAGUUCUUUACAAAGUGAUUUGGGUGUGAACACUGUUGGAGAGCUAUUGCAGUUUUCAGAGGAGAAGCUACAAGAGAAUUAAGGGGGGAAUACAGAAGAGUUAUGACAAUAUUAUUACAAUGUUAUUGCAAUGUAUUACAAUGUUAACACAACAUUAUAUUUUACUUAUUCACAAAAUGUAUGUGAAUUUAUUGAUUCAACAUUUGUUCCUUGAAAGCGCAGUACAAUGUAUUUGGUUUGGAUUAUUAUUCCGUUUGCAUGAGUAGUACAAUGGAUUGCUUACAGCGUUAUA